rnacentral:rRNA from 1 species
CUAUACAUGACUCUGCGCAUAUCAAUAAGCGGAGGAAAAGAAACUAACAAGGAUUCCCCUAGUAACGGCGAGUGAAGCGGGAAGAGCUCAAAUUUGAAAUCUUAAAGGGUUUCCCUUUACGAAUUGUAGUUUAAAGAAGCGUCUUCUGUUGGAGUUUUGGUAAAAGUUCUUUGGAAUAGGACAUCAUAGAGGGUGAGAAUCCCGUAUUUGACCAUUAUUUCCAACUUUGUGAUACACUUUCAAAGAGUCGGAUUGCUUGGGAAUGCAGUCCAAAAUGGGUGGUAAAUUUCAUCUAAAGCUAAAUAUUGGCGAGAGACCGAUAGCGAACAAGUACCGUGAGGGAAAGAUGAAGAGAACUUUGAAAAGAGAGUUAAACAGUACGUGAAAUUGUCAAAAGGGAAGCGUUUGACACCAGUGUUGUUUUUCCGAAAAUCAAUUACGAAUGUUUUGUUUUUAAGGAGUUAUGACUUCAUCGGCUUGCUCCUUUCUUUAUGAAACUUUCUUAAUGCACUUUUCGGUUAACAAGUCAACAUCAAUUUCUUUUGUUGUAAAAGGGUAUGAGGAAGGUGGCUUUCUUUUCGGAGAAAGUGUUUAUAGCCUUGUGCCUCUGCAAUCGGAGAGAUUGAGGUCUGCAGCGUAGAUCCUUCGGGGUUAGAUACGUUUGUGCUAAGUUAUAGCUUUUCAUAGACAACUUGUUGACUAUGUUUAGUCUUGUAGCUUACUCGCUUACGCUAUUUUACCUACGCUUAGGAUGUUGAAGAUAUGCGCGACACGACUCUAUACAUGACUCUGCUGCAUAUCAAUAAGCGGAGGAAAAGUCAACGUACCUACGCUUAGGAUGUUGAAGAUAUGCGCGACAC